rnacentral:lncRNA from 1 species
AUGCUGCAGAACCCACUGUAUAAUCCUGGCCAGAUUCUGGGCACUGGCUGCUCCCUGGGCUCUCCGAAUGUUACGGAAAUGAAGGCUGGGAUGCCUCUCCUGGGCCCUUGGCCUCUCCUCUUCCCCUGGAACAGGAGGAAGAAAGCUCUUUGGGGCCACUGUCGCCCCUCCUCAGAGCCCCAGGCCAAAGGGAGAGAGCAGUCUAGUACAGGGAGUGGCAGGAUUGCUGAGCUGCCCCCGUGUGGUGCUAGGGGGCUCAGGGGCCAGAAUCCCCAGGGACCCCACAGCCAACCCUACCCCGGGCCGUGUGGGGAAGGGGAGAGAAUCACAGACGACAUAAUUUCAACAAGGACGAUUUCUGUCUUUUGCAAGGACCCUUCUAUUAGCAGGCAGUUCCUGGAGCCCUGGCUGGGUAAAGCAGCUGUCUUCAGGUCUCCAUUGCCACAGAGGAAGAAUCCACGGUCCUGUGAUGUGCUCCAAUCUGAUUAGGAGGACAGCUGUGGAGGUCCCUUGAUUCUUUGUCACUUGCAGCUUAAUUCCUGCAUUUUGUAGAUAAAAUGACUUUUUGUAAUAAUCAGAUCAUAAAAUAUGAGAAAUGUUGGAAUCAAGAUAGCAUACAAUAUUAUUUCAGAACUAAGACUACUUGAAAUUUAGUCUUCAAAAUAUAGAACAUUGAAUUUAAAAAGAUUUUUGUAUUGUAGGAUCUUAAAAACUCAGUAUGUAAGAAUCUCAGAUUGUAG